rnacentral:rRNA from 1 species
UAAGGAAUAUUGCGCAAUGGGGGAAACCCUGACGCAGCAACGCCGCGUGAGGAUGACACUUUUCGGCGCGUAAACUCCUUUUAUCAGGAAAGAAUAAUGACGGUACCUGAUGAAUAAGCACCGGCUAACUCCGUGCCAGCAGCCGCGGUAAUACGGGGGGUGCAAGCGUUACUCGGAAUCACUGGGCGUAAAGGACGCGUAGGCGGAUUAUCAAGUCUUUUGUGAAAUCUAGUGGCUUAACCACUAAACUGCUUAGGAAACUGAUAGUCUAGAGUAGGGGAGAGGUAGAUGGAAUUCUUGGUGUAGGGGUAAAAUCCGUAGAGAUCAAGAAGAAUACCCAUUGCGAAAGCGAUCCGCUGGAACCUAACUGACGCUGAGGCGUGAAAGCGUGGGUAGCAAACAGG